GGCCGCUCAGCUGGUAGAGCAUCUGUCCGGCAAGUAGAAUGUCGCCGGUUCAAUUCCGGCUCCAGUCG
rnacentral:tRNA from 1 species